UACGAGGGGGGCGAGCGUUGUUCGGAAUUAUUGGGCGUAAAGGGUGCGUAGGCGGUUUUGUAAGUCUUAUGUGAAAUCUAUGGGCUCAACUCAUAGACUGCAUGAGAAACUGCAUAGCUAGAGUGUCGGAGGGGAUAGCGGAAUUCCUAAUGUAGAGGUGAAAUUCGUAGAUAUUAGGAGGAACACCGGUGGCGAAGGCGGCUAUCUGGACGACAACUGACGCUGAGGCGCGAAAGCACGGGGAUCAAACAGG
rnacentral:rRNA from 1 species